AUCUUUUUAUAGUUCACAGCAUGAUGACUGGGUUUUUAUGUUCAUGUGUGAGAUGUGCCCCUUCAAACCUUUUUACGAUGUCUGGUGGAUUUUUAAGCUUUUUUCAGCUAUAUGAUC
rfam:Pongo abelii chromosome 6.